GAUGAACGCUAGCGGGAGGCUUAACACAUGCAAGUCGAGGGGUAACAGUGCUGCUUGCAGCAGCUGACGACCGGCGCACGGGUGCGUAACGCGUAUGCAACUUACCUUAUACAGGGGAAUAGCCCAGAGAAAUUUGGAUUAAUGCCCCAUGGUCUUGGUUUAUCACAUGAUAUUUCAAGUAAAACUCCGGUGGUAUAAGAUAGGCAUGCGUCCCAUUAGUUUGUUGGUAAGGUAACGGCUUACCAAGACUACGAUGGGUAGGGGUUCUGAGAGGAUGAUCCCCCACACUGGUACUGAGACACGGACCAG
rnacentral:rRNA from 1 species